GGCACUGUAGCGCAAUGGAUAGCGCGUUGGACUUCUAAUACAAAAGUUGGGGGUUCGAAUCCCCCUGGGAUGGCCU